GAGAAUUCUUUAUGGACAAUUCUUCGAGGCAAGAAAAUACAGAUGUUUCGCUUCCUUCAUCUACUGGUGGUGCCUUCCAUUCAACUAAACUCGUCAUAUCAUUAAAAUAUAAUUUCUUUAAUGCUGGAAACAGUCUCCCUCCAUUGCUUGUGCUUCCACUGUCAAUGCCAUAGAAUUCAUUCCCUAUACAUCUAAUCUCAUCCAUUCCAAAUGUUACAAGCGUUUUAAGACGAGGAAGAUGUCCAAGCCUUGGGAGUUC
rnacentral:misc_RNA from 1 species